UUUGCGGUAUCCUGACCGUGCUAAGGUAGCGUGAUAAUUCGCCCUUUAAUUGUGGGCUUGUACGAAUGGGUUAACGAGAAUUUUUCUGUCUCUAUAAUUAACAUAUAAAUUAAUAUUUAGGUGAAAAGGCCUGAAUUUUUAUACAAGACAAAAAGACCCCAUAGAGCUUUGGUUAAAAUAAAGCAAAUAAAAAUUUAUUUUAAUUUUAUUUUUUGCUUUAUAAUAAACUUAACUGGGGUGGUUAAGGAAAAUUUUAUCUUCCUUUUUUUAACAAACUAAUAAUGUUUUUGAUCCUAUUAAAGAUAAAAGAAAUAGCUACCUUGGGGGUAACAGACUAAUUUUUUUUGAGAGUUCAUAUUAACAAAAAAGUUUGGCACAUCGAUGUUGGCUUAGGGUAAUCUAAAGAUAGUAGCAGUCUUUUAGAUUGGUUUGUUCAACCAUUAAUCCCCUACAUGAUCUGAGUUCAAACCGGAGA
rnacentral:rRNA from 1 species